rnacentral:lncRNA from 1 species
AAUGGCCCUCGUACCAAAUUGCAGCUCCUGCUUCUUUUCCUCAAGAUGAAGAUCUGGAGUCUAUACUCCUCUCGCCAACCAACUUCCAAAGGCUGCUUGUCCCAGCCUCACUUCUCCGGCGCUUACUCCUCCCACAAACCAAGCCCUGAAGACUUCUCUCGGCCCCUCUUCUCCGGCGCUCGGGAUCUCCGAAACCUUCUCCAAUUUGAAGAAGCAAGGGAAAGUAAGCAUAUGGAUCUAUU